CUAGGUAGAGAGGAAGCAAUUUACACCCUUCAAAAAAACUUCAGGGGAUGUGAGCAGUGUAGAAAUGUCAUUCUGAGGCUCUGUAGAAUCUUUCCUCCUCUGGCAACGCCUUCCAUUGCUGCAGCAAUGGAGUCUAGCCCCAGGAAUGGUGUCAACAGCAACGCAAGAGCAAGAAGAUGAGUUUAGAGCUCUCCUAUUGAGAUGGGGUUACGUGAACCUCAUUCCACAUUGGGUAGUGGGGACAGCAAGAGUAAGUAAUUUUCUGAGGAAGAAGAGAGAGCAGGCCAGCUGGCAGCUCCUGAGGACCACAGAGAGCAGGAAAAGAGCCAUCUGGAGCAGAUAGGGAAAAGGGUUGUGAGGUGCUUGGAGAGAGACCGUGGGAAUGGACAGAGAGAAGUCUUCAGAGGGAGAAAUGCUGUCACCUACCACAGGUGCCUCUGCAUUGCUUGCAGGCCUCCACCGCCCCCAUCUUCCCUACAGACUAUCAAAGGAAUUAGGAUUUGGAAGGAUGGAUGCACAGAGCACCUAACGUUUAAGUAAGUGCAGGUUAGACGCCUCCAUGGGAGACAUCCCGUAGGAGGAUGAGAUCCCACCCAGAGUGCUAAUAAAAUGGUUCCUUUUACAGGAAAGCUCAUGCUGGCAAAUUGUCUUUGAAAACAAUACUGUUUGCUUAAACAAGAGCAUUCUGUAUUUUCUCCCAGAAAAGGCAGCGUGGCUGGCGAGGCACUGGGGUAGGACUCCAGACAUCUGAGCUCUGGUGCUGGUUUUGCCUCCAGGCUUGUGUAGGGGUAUGGGCAAGCUUCCCUCGAAAUACUGUGCCUCUCUUUCUCCCUCCAGCCUUGUCUGUUGGAAUAGGAUCAUAUAAAACCUACCACAAAUCUGGAACUUAGAGGAGGCCUUUAGUUGCUACUGAAGUACAAAUAAAAAUAAUACACAAUUCUUCCACUGAGUUUUUAAAGCAUACAGUCUGGGAACAAAACCAGCCACAUUUUACACUGAAAAAUCACAUAGAACAAGAGGAAAUGCAGAUGGUCUUACUAAACUGUCUUAUGAACUGUUGACUAGUUAAUUAAUCAAAGUUGCCUAGUGAUUUAUUGAUUAACAGAGAUUCUACGGUCAUGAACACAUCAAAUUUCACAAUGGAAGUUUUAGCAAUGGAAAAAAGCUGGUCUUUCAGUUCCUUCCUCAAUCAAGACAGAAAAUAAUAUGAGAAUUGAGGACAUUUCAUGGAUUAAACCAAUGCCAAGCAAUCUAAUUAUGCGAUAGUAUUGCUUAGGCAAUUUUGACUAUUUUUUUCCAUGCAGCUUUUUUCCUUAGUGAAGUGAUUUUUUUUUUAUAUUUUACCAGAGUCGGUAAAAUUCCCCAAAUAACAAGUCCUAUAAUGUAUUUACUAAUAUUGUGUAGUCUAAUAAAGGAUAAAUAUUGAAAGAAUUGCCUUUCCUGUAGGUGGGAAAUCACAGAAUUAAAAUAUAUUUAAAAUUCCCUUGGAGGACUGAGAGAGCAACUUUACCUGUCAGUUGUUGCCUUGACACCGUAUCCAUCACUGUGAUAAGGAGGACAUGAUAAGUUUUGUAUUAUUAACAACUAUCUGCCUAUCUCUAAAAUUUCUUAUGCACAGCUUUUCUGUAACUAGUUAAUUAAUCAGUGCAAAAGGCAAGUCAUAUACAGGUAUUAAAUUGUUAUUCAGAGGACUUUGAGGUCUAUGGCUAUGCUUGUAUGUCCUGGAAGAUUAAGUUUCUCUGUCAUAAGAGAAUCAGCAGGAGGCCUGUUGUGCAUGGUCAUAAAUCUCACCUUUGUACUUGGUAGAGUUCCACUGUGAAGAGGUCUCCUUCUCCAAUGUGUAGAUAUGUUAUGAGCCUAUCUAAGUACAACUGUAAAAGCUACCAUACUGGAUGAAACAUAAUGUUGCACUGUGUAAGACUAUCCCUCAGCAAAGGUCAAUAGAAGGUUCUUCAGAGGAAGGUAUGAAAACUCUGUCAUAAGAAUCCCCUCAUAUUAGAAAUGGAUAGAAAGUUCAAUAUCUGUUUUCUGACU